UCAGAACAAAGUGAUGCCCAUUAGUGUUAUUAGAUUCAAUAAUAAUUUAUUACAGAAGUAAACUGAACUUUAUUGUCUCAAGAUCUUUCCAACAAAUCAACAUCUGCCAGAGUACAUGCUUAAACUAAACAUCCUAAGGUUCUCUUCAUUAUCAGUUGAAAGCUAACAAGAAUAGAAUUAUAUCAAAAAGAAGUAAAAAUUGAACAGGAAAAGAAUUUGAGCCACCAAUGAUUUACUCACUAAGGCUUCAAGGCACUCGGAGCAUAUUUCUUUCGCAUGCCAUCCUAUCAAUUGAAUUCUCAUGUAAACAUAACAUUCUCAAUCCAUGCUGCAGCAAAGACUGUUAUCGGAAAGUAUUCACACUCACCAGGGUUGUGGUCAGUAAUGACACACGUUUCACUUCACUGCAAAAUUUCUCUCUACUGCUGGCCCUUCACAACCCCAGUUUUUGUAUUUCGCUUCUCUUGUACACAACUCCAAGUUGUGAACUGGUCAGAAAGUAGCAACCGAUCAAUUACUCAAUUUCAGAUCAAGAAAAAAAAGCGGAGAGGGGUUGAAGAUGAGAGAGAGAGGGAGAGAUGGGACCUGGUGUCGGCAAGUCGAAGCAAUGAGACAAUGAAUUUCACACUUGGAGCAUUGAAGAGACGAUCGGUGAGAGAACAGUCUUUACAAAUCAAUAUGCCCCAAAUUAAUAUUUGUGAAGUAGACCUCUAAUACCCAGUGUACCAAGAACAAAACUGAUCUCAAAAAUCAUCAUAAUCAAAGAUAUUGGAAAUGGAAUAGAUACAAACUAACCAGAAUCAAAUUUCCAAGCAGCAUUGAUCCAUUGAUGCUGACAUUUCGAGACGAAGUGAUGCCAGUCAUAGAGAUUGUGCGUCCCGUUCCUUCAUAUCGAAGCCCCAAAAUAGCGUUCCGACCCGACUGGGUUGUCUGACCUUCACCGCUUUGCCGACCCGUCCCGACAACUGGCAGCCGAGUCGGGGGAAUGGGCGAGAUCAAAAUUAUUGAAAUUUUACCCGGAGAGUAGUUUACCCA
rnacentral:lncRNA from 1 species